rnacentral:ncRNA from 1 species
AAAAAGGUUAUGAUGGAAAAGAGUAGUUCUUUUCUUGCCUAGCAGAGAAUAGCGGCCUUGGUGCAAGGUGAUGAGAUUUGAAAUCAUGAAACAUGGUUUUGAUUGUCAGCAUCUUAAAAUACAUGGGUGGGAGUCGCUUAUAGGUUGAGGGAGAACGAAGUGCGUUCCUGAACUGAGCAGGCGAAAUUUUUAGUAGCUUGUAUCCGAUGACAACGUUACAGUCCCAAAAGUGAGAUGGUGAUGGCCGUCUAAUUAAAGUGGAACCGCGGAGAACGUAUAGCUUCGUCUUUAUU